AUGGAAGAGCUGGGCAGCAUUAUCUUGCAAGAUUUUCUUGUGGCUGGCGGUGCAAUACAGAUUAUGGACGGGCUGCAGGACGAGGCCUCACCUUGUUACUUCCGUGAUCAGGAAGAGGACACGGUCGACCAUUUGCUGUUGCAAUGUGUUUUUGCAAGGCAUGUGUGGUACCUCUGCUUCUUGAAGGUGGGCAUAGACCAGGUUAUACUUCCAUCGCCUCAGAGCAGGCUGCAAGAUUGGUGGACAAAUCGGCGCAAGCAAAUUCACAAGUUGGAACGGAAGGGAUUCGGCUCUUUUGUCAUGCUCAUUUGCUGGACUCUAUGGAAGAAAAGGAACGGAUGUGUUUUUGGCACAGGCACCAUACGCAAUGUGUGGGCACGGUCGAACUCAUAUCUGAGGAACUUUGACCGUGGGCGGACGGGAUUGCAACGAUAUUGUGAGUAG
rnacentral:rRNA from 1 species